rnacentral:rRNA from 1 species
UGGGGAAUAUUGCACAAUGGGCGAAAGCCUGAUGCAGCAACGCCGCGUGAGUGAUGAAGGUCUUCGGAUUGUAAAGCUCUGUCUUUUGGGACGAUAAUGACGGUACCAAAGGAGGAAGCCACGGCUAACUACGUGCCAGCAGCCGCGGUAAUACGUAGGUGGCGAGCGUUGUCCGGAUUUACUGGGCGUAAAGGGUGCGUAGGCGGAUGUUUAAGUGAGAUGUGAAAUACCCGGGCUUAACUUGGGUGCUGCAUUUCAAACUGGAUAUCUAGAGUGCAGGAGAGGAGAAUGGAAUUCCUAGUGUAGCGGUGAAAUGCGUAGAGAUUAGGAAGAACACCAGUGGCGAAGGCGAUUCUCUGGACUGUAACUGACGCUGAGGCACGAAAGCGUGGGUAGCAAACAGGAUUAGAUACCCUGGUAGUCCACGCCGUAAACGAUGAGUACUAGGUGUAGGAGGUAUCGACCCCUUCUGUGCCGCAGUAAACACAUUAAGUACUCCGCCUGGGAAGUACGAUCGCAAGAUUAAAACUCUAAAGUGAAUUGACGGGGUC